UACGGAGGGGACUAGCGUUGUUCGGAAUUACUGGGCGUAAAGCGCACGUAGGCGGAUUUGUAAGUCAGGGGUGAAAUCCCGGGGCUCAACCUCGGAACUGCCUUUGAUACUGCAAAUCUCGAGUCCGGAAGAGGUGAGUGGAAUUCCUAGUGUAGAGGUGAAAUUCGUGGAUAUUAGGAAGAACACCAGUGGCGAAGGCGGCUCACUGGUCCGGUACUGACGCUGAGGUGCGAAAGCGUGGGGAGCAAACAGG
rnacentral:rRNA from 1 species